rnacentral:lncRNA from 1 species
AAACCUUAAAAUCCAUUGCCAUGGUAUUGUUUUAAUUCCCAGAAUGAGGUUUAAACCAAAUAAUGGCAGCUAAAAUCACAACAUCUGCAAAAUCUGAAACUGAAAAUAUAAGCAAAUACCAUUGAAAUUACUGAAAAAUAUUUGAGGAAAUAUUGGCAAAUUAAAGUAAUAGAAAAGAGGGGAACCUCUCAAAAGCUUGAUUAUUUUAAAACUGUGCAAGCAUCUUCUUUCACUUUUUUGUUUCUUUCGGUCAUAAAGAACUGAUAGAUAAUAAGCACAAUCAUGGGUUUCUUUGCGUUUUUGAAGAUUUU